rnacentral:rRNA from 1 species
GAUAAACGCUGGCGGCGUGCAUGAGACAUGCAAGUCGAACGGGUGACUCGGGCUUGCUCGAGUUGCUAGUGGCGGACGGCUGAGUAACGCGUGGGUGACCUGCCCCAAGUGGGGAAGUAACUGCCCGAAAGGGUGGCUAAUACCGCAUGUGGUCGCACGUUCGUUCGUGCGAGUAAAGCCGCAAGGCGCUUUGGGAGGGGCCUGCGUCCGAUUAGCUCGUUGGUGGGGAACGGCUCACCAAGGCGACGAUCGGUAGGUGGUCUGAGAGGACGAUCACCCAGACUGGGACUGAGACACGGCCCAGACUCCUACGGGAGGCAGCAGUCGGGAAUUUUGCUCAAUGGGCGCAAGCCUGAAGCAGCAACGCCGCGUGA